rnacentral:rRNA from 1 species
ACAAGCGGAGGAACUAUGUGGUUAAUUCGAUGAUACGCGAGGAACCUUACCUGGGCUUAAAUGCAGAGUGCAUGGAGUGGAAACACUUCUUCCCUUCGGGGCUCUUUGCAAGGUGCUGCAUGGUUGUCGUCAGCUCGUGCCGUGAGGUGUCGGGUUAAGUCCCAUAACGAGCGCAACCCUUAUCGUUAGUUGCCAGCGGGUAAAGCCGGGAACUCUAGCGAAACUGCCGGUGUAAACCGAGAGGAAGGUGGGAUGACGUCAAAUCAGCACGGCCCUUAUGUCCAGGGCUACACACGUGUUACAAUGGCCGGUACAGAGGGCAGCUACCUGGAGACAGGAUGCGAAUCUCGAAAGCCGGUCUCAGUUCGGAUCGGAGUCUGCAACUCGACUCCGUGAAGCUGGAUUCGCUAGUAAUCGCGCAUCAGCCAUGGCGCGGUGAAUACGGUUCCCGGGCCUU